CAAAAUGGAGGAUUCCCCACCCUCAGGUGGGUGUCCCAGUUUCCUGGCUGUGGAGGCUCAUUUUUUUCCCAUGUGUGUUCAUGGAUGUCCUGCAUCCACACCAGUAAUUUGCUGGUCAGUAGUGAAGUUACAGUGGCUUUGACAAUUGAGCCCUCUAGGCUGAGGCACCCAGGAUGCUUUCCUGUGGAAGGAAGACUUACAGCUCUUUAGGAAAAGAGUCAAUGACUUCUGAUUGUCCCACCUUCAGGGUAAAACCCAUGUCAACUCCAGCUGCGCUGAAAAAGACAAUGGUGUUAUUAUUUUUUUAUAUCAUCCUGACCCCAUGAGUGGAGUGGAAGUGCACUGACAUAUACAUGUUAGACUCAGCCCCUUCGGUAGGAACACCUGGUUUCUAUGUUUUAAGACUGAGACUUGGGCCUGAAUGAGGUGUCUAAUCAGCUAGACUGAGAACAUUUAAUGUUAUUUGGGAGUGCAACAUCCAACACAGUCCUGUAAAGGUUCAGGUGCCUUCAUGGACAAACAAGGGCUGAGUGUUUUGACAAUGAUGUCUGGUGUACCAGUGGGAGAUGUAGCAUAUUGUGGCAAAGGACCAUCAAGAUUCUUAAGUUAAAACAUGCAUGUGGUGUGAAACAUAAUUUUUCAAAGUGCCUUUUAGGGCUUUUCAUUCAUCUUUCCAGAAUUCUGGAUUAAUACCAUCAAACUAAAAACAAAAACAAAACCAACCAACCAAACACAACAAAAAAACCCCAACACCCUAAAAGUGGUACCUGGGACCUUCUAUCCCUCUAUCCUUCUUGGGACCCUUUGUCUUGGGGUCUUCUACCCCUCUGAUGGAGCACCAGCAGAAGGGAGCAUUCUCAGAGGGCAGAGGAAGCUCUGGGUGACAGACAGGGGGAUGCUGUCCAUAAUCUCUUUUUCAUGGUUCCACUGUCCUAAAGUCUCACCUGCUGAGCUGGAACAGGGGAGUUAUUUUGGUGGAAUGGAAACUUUGGUGUUAGUUGGGGGAAUUCCCCUCACAGGUCAGGGAGUCCCUUCUUGGUCAGGUGUUAUAAGGCGACUUGGGAUCAAAAGUGUGCUCUGCUGCCAUCUUUCUCCUCCAGCUGAACUAUGUCUGUUGAGAAAGGGGUCUUUAUGGUAUGUAGAUUUGGCCUAGAGCUUAACAGGUGACACUAGCAAUCAGGAUACACAAGAUACUUCUGAGCUUGCUGUUGUGUUGCAUAUGCCAAGAAGGCUAGUACUUCACCCCAAAGGGAUGACAGGGCUCAAUUCCUGUAUGUCAUCUUGAGGCUUUCUAAUUCAAAGAAAACCAGUAAAUACUGCUUUUGCAGAGCAGUCCUGGGAAAUAGUUUGUGCUUGUGCCUUGUUCACCUCUUUCCACAUAACACAGGCUUCUUGUGAAACACAUCAGAAGAUGCACAGCUGAAAGUUCUGCAUGAUAUUGACAGAUUUAAACUGUGUGGCAGGUAAUGCCAUCCAAGUGUUUCUCAUGUCUCUGAUCUGUAUCCUGUAACCAUUGCUACCUUGUGAGUCCCCCCUCUGCCUUCCCCCUGCAGCCCCUUCCAGGUGCCUGUAAGACAAUAUGUGACUGACCAACCACUCAGAAGGCAGGGGGCUUCCAUCUGUCUGACCAUGCAGGACAUAUUUUCACUUGGCAUUGGUGGAUCAAAAUGGUAAACUUUUGGUUACAGGAGCCUGAUGUGUUUGUUUUUCAGGCCUUAAACACAAGCAUACCUCUGCAGGUAGGAGAGCAGGCAGAGCUCCAAGGUUGGUUGCCCGUAGCUACUAAUAGAGAAGUCCUGAUAAAGAACUUGCUUGCUGUUGCAGCUGCAGUUAGCAAUCAGCUGGACUUAAUUUGUGAGAGGCUGAAGGGAGCUGAGAGAUGCAGCAGCUGAGAGGGGUCUUGUUUGUACAGCACAUAUGGUGUCCCAGCACGUGCCCCCUUCAUUACCAUUCCUCAGAGUUGGCUUCUCUUGCAGUAUUCUUUGACAAAGGGCUUUGACUUGUAGGGCUGCACUUGAAAAUUGUUUCAGUGGUCAAAUAGAUGACACCUUUUUGUACCGACUGUUUAUGUUAUCAGAGUUUUCAUCCUUGAAAAUGAGAAUAAAAUAGGUUGUGUAUAUUAAAAAAUGUCAUGUAACAUACCAGCUGUCCGCAGAGGCAAUGCAUGUAUGCCUAUGUCUAUUUAAUAACUGUAAAGCUGGAAUUUGCACAAACUGUUGCUUUUCUGUUGUUCUCCAAGUCAUUUUAUAUUGGAAUUUUGGUAAACCCACAGCUAAAGUUUAGGCCACAGGUUAUAAAACGGGUCAAGUUGUCUGUGUGGCAGUUUGUAGCUGUAUGCUACUAGAUUUCUAUUGCUGGCUUAGGGUAGCACAGCAAAAAAAACAGACCCAUCUGUGCUUAUGUUGUAUGCUAAGCAAACGCUGUUUCAUGGAAAAUUUUUAUUGAACUAUAGAUAUCUUCUCUGUGGUCGUUGUUCCUCCUGCCACAACCUGUCCACACCAACUCCCCAGCUCCACAAGCAACUUUAGGUGGCAUGGCAUUGCUCGAGCUGCCAGCAGUACUCUGAAGAAGUGUCCUGUGCAGAGCAUUUGUAUCUCUCCCCUGUUAGGUAGAGGGUCUGUUUAAACAACAUGAAUGCUGUAUGGGACACAGUGUUUGGUAUUUUUAGGAGAUAUCAGUGGCUUUAAUAUCUGGAAUGGCAUAAUUAAUGUUAAAAAUUAACUAUACCUAAAUUUAGCACUAAUAUUUUCAAAGUAAAUUUAGAAGAACUGACACAAGCACUCUUUGGGUGAGCAGUAACUGUGUGCAUAACUCAAGUGGUGAUUACGGAAAGGAAUUAUGUGUAAUUCUGUGAAACACAUAUGAAAACCACAUAAACACGCCACAUUUAUAUAUGUUUAAUAUGUCUCUGUUAAUAUGUAAUCUAUGUAGGCACAUAUAUGCCUGUAUGCUCAUCAUAUCCUCAUGCAUGAAGAGUAUUUUAAAUGUUUGGGUUUUUUUAAUGAAAAGAAGGCAGCCUCUGUAUCUGACUUUUCAAUUAUCUCAUUAGGACCAGGAAGUGAAUUUGGGCAUCAUGUGUGACUUGUCUGGUGUAAUUGCUGAGCCUAGCAUCUUCCAUUAACACCAAGGCUGGCAGCACAGGAGUCAUUCCAGUUUUGCAGAGCAGCUCUGCCAGUGUGGCACAGCCCUGCCUCUGGGGCUGAAAGAACAGUUUCGUUCCCAUCAUUAUCCUUUUGGGCUUGUUGGCUCGAGAAGGGUGCCCAGCAGUGAUGCUUUUUGAUCAGGAGCUGAUUUACCUAAUCUGGCUGGAUUGGGACAUCAGAGUGUCUCAUAUGGUCAGUGCACAGGUCCUUGUUCAGAAACCCUGUGAGUGUGAGUUGCUGAAUUCCAGCUCUCGGGCUUCACUUAGACUGACAUUUCUCAGGGAUAUCCAUCUUCUGACCUGGGCAAAUCCUUCAGCAUUUCACAUUUGUAACUACAUCAGUCUAUCCAUUACAGCCUCAGCAAAACCCCUGUGCGUAACCUGGAAGCUGGACUGUCAUUUUCAGAGAAAGCAUGCUUUUGUCCUCUGUAAAUAUGUAAAACAAAAUUUCUGAGCUGUUACCAGCCUCCUUUUUCAGUCAUCACGCACACAAUCUCACAAAGAAUGAAGCCAUACUCCUGCUCUUUAUCCUCCUGCUCGGAAGGAAGGAAGACCAGGAAGUUGUAAAGAACUGGUGAAGAACACAGGAUAAAAAUCCCUACCUUUGCCUUGAAUCAGUGGCAUAACUAAUCUGGCUUGAAUUCACAUCUUCUUGCCUGUCCCUUAAAAAAGAAGCUGGGUGUAGUAGUGGUGGUACUUUCUGAAAGUAGAGUCUGUGCUUCCUAAAAAUAAACUUAAUUUAUCAACACUAUGGAGUAACAGCAUGUAAUGUUCUCCAUCUCCAGUGGAAUUCAGAGCUCCUUGUCACUGGUAAGGAUGAAGUUGUGAAACCCAAGUAGAUAUUUUUAGCAGAUUUCAAGAAAAUAGCUUCUUGUAAUAGUACAUGUUGCCCUAUCUGGUGUGGCAGAUCCUGUCUUUGUCCUCUGUUUGAAGGACAGAAUGCAGGAAAUAAACUGGUUAGUUUGUUUAUGGCUCUGUCAAAUGACAAAGGUUGAAUGGAAAUCCAAAUGCACUGAAGUAGUAUUAAUUGUAGAUGCACAAUACUCUGGCUUAUAUUAGCAUUCAAAAUUAUUCUUCUUCUGAAAGGGCUAACAGGGGAAAAUCUGCAUUAUGCAAAAACUUACACAAGAUUUGACUUUAUGUGACUUGAAAAACUGUGGAAAUAGAGUUAACUACACACAUAAAACUUCGUAGGACUGGAAAUUUAUUCUGCUUUAUUUUAUUCCUCAAAAUUAAAAGGCAUCUUCAGAUCUGAAAGUUAAUUUAUAUGACUUCUGAUGGGACAGAGUGGAUAGAGUUAAGAUUGGAGGAUAGGUCUUAGGUUUGUGUCACAUGAUUUCUUUCAGCCCCUCCUUUUGUCUUUCUCAACCGUAGCAUUGUUCAUAGCAGUCAAGCAGAAUUUAUCAGUGAUUAUGCACUUUAGUUCCUUUAACAAACAGAUUUUUUUUUUAUUAUUAUUUGUUUUGUUUGUUUGUUUUAGCUGACAAGGUUGUAUAACUUCUGGACCCAGUUUAUGUGGCACAGUGCAGCACAAAUGACCCAUGCAAAGUUCUGUGCUGCAGUGCUGGUACCUGCAGCAACUUGCUUAAAGCGUGUUAAAGCAGUCAGAGAUGCAAACUGUCCUCAUUUGGUUUCCCAGAAUGGAAUAUUUUGCAGUGGCUUUGAUAUUGAAACUUGUUUCAUCAGUGUCUUACUGAUAGGUCCUUAGCAAGGCAUUUGGUGUUGAGGAUGGCUAGCAUGGGGUACUUUCCCCCAGCUCAACCUCACUCUGCACUGACCCAAAAUGUCAUGGAGUGGAGGGCAGAGCCAUGCAUCAGCUGACCCUGUGUGAUACCUGGAAGUCUUUUCUGAAGCCAAACCUAGGCUACUUUUCAGUUUUGAAGGACAUUUCACCCUAGCACCACAAGCAUCUUGGUAGAAGUGGAGUCCAUGAAUGUAGCUGUUUCUUGGCGUCAUUAGUGUUAACUGAGAUUAACUUGAAGGUGGUGGAACUGCUGAUUCUGCCUUGGGCUGUCUUCCAGAGCAGACAGAACUGGUUCCUGAAUGCUGUCUGUCUCUGUGGCUGAGGCAAUAGAGCAGGCAGAUUGUUGGGUUACCAGUAUGCUCGAAACCUGUACUUCAAAGCUGAUGUACUGGCAACAGUUUCAAACUGAAGUCUGGUCAUCCAUGAGCUCUCUGAUAAUCAGGGCUGCUUUGAUUGCUCUUGGGACAGAGAGCAAAAAUUUGGUUUUUUAUCAUUAGCACCAACUCUAUAGUUCGAAAAAAGUCAAUAUUUUCUUCAAAUAGAAAUUGUUAAUUUACCACAACACAGAAAAUGGUAAUUUUCUAAAGAUAUCUUGUAGAACCACUGAGCUGCGUCUUGUGGCCUUAGAGUCUAGGCUUUUAUUUCCUCUAAAUAUACUCUGCUCUGUUUUCCAUGUGUCUGUCAUGUUGAAUAAGUAACAGGCAGUGGGCACAGGACCAGGACUCAUGUCCUGUGUAUCAUGUAAAACAGAACAGGCAGCUCUUUCUCUUGUGAGAGAUACCAUCACGGCGUCCUAGUCACAAAGCUGGAAUGGAGAUGCUGGAACCCUAAGAUAGAGUUGCAGCUUCUAACUCAAAGUGUGCUAGGGGUUUUCUUCUUACUUAUAAUGUCUACUGUUCUAGUGCCUACUCAGUGUCCUCGGUAAAGCAGCCUCACCUUUCAAACUUCUUGUUGCCCUGCCUCAGGUUCCUUCUGAGCCAACCCCCAGCCUCCCUCCUCUGUUCAGUUCUUUGCUGUCUUCUCCCAGUGCAGCAUUCUCUUCCGUUCUGUUCCACCCCAUUGUGGGAUGCCCCACCCCAGGGUCCUCCUGCCUCACCUUGGCAUUACGGCUCUGCUCAGCCCUGGAGAUGUAGGCACGGACAGUGGGACACUCAGGUUUGCUGCUUUCCCUCUUGCUGAACAGGGCUGCAGCUUGUGAGCCAUCCCCAGGACAUGGCACUGAGUGCACCCUUAGCAAGUGCUGAUGACACCAAGCUGUGUGGUGCAAUCAGCACACUGGAGGGAAGGCAUGCCACCCAGAGGGAUCUGGACACCUUUGAGUGGUGGGCCAAUACAAACUUCAUGAAGUCCAGCAAAGAAAAGUUCAAGGUCCUGCACCUGGGUCAGGGCAAUCCCAGGCACUCCUGCACACUGGGCAGAGGAAUGACUGAGAGCAGCCCUGUGGGGAAGAACUAGGGGGUGAUGGCUGAUAAUUGCCAGCAUGAGCUGGCAUGAGCUUGCAGCCCAGAAAGCCAAUGGAAUCCUGAGCUGCAUCAACAAGAGCAUGGCCAGCAGGGCGAGGGAGGGGAUUCUGCCUGCCUCCCCCUCUACUCUGCUCUUGUCAGGCCCCACCUGGAGCACAGUGUACAGUUCUGUUGCCCCCAGUGUAAGAAGGACAUGGAACUGUUGGAGCAGGUCCAAAGGAGGCCACAAAGUUGCUAAGAGGACUGGAGCACCAUCCCCUAUAAAGAGGCUGAGAAAGUCAGGGCUGUUCAGCCUGGAGAAGUUUGUGUGGAGACCUCAUGGUAACCUUCCAGUGUCUACAGGGAAGCCAGAGAGGGAUCCUUGGUCAGGGACUGUAGUGAUAGGACAAGGAGUAAUGGCUUUGAACUGAAAGAAGUGAAAUUUAGUUUAGAUAUUAGGAAGAAAUUCUUUACUAUGAGAGUGGUGAAACACUGGAACAGGCUUCCCAGAGAAGUUGUGGAUGCCCCAUCCCUGGCAGUGUUCAAGGCCAGGUUGGAUGGGGCUCUGAGCAACAUGCUCAUGUCAGGGGUGUUGGAAAUAGAUGUCCUUCCCACCCAAACCAUUCUGUGAUUCUAUGACAUUCAGGUGCUCAUAGGCUCCAAUGGCUGAGCAGUCACAUGCCCUACCUAUGUGCUGUGUGUCUGUGUGCUCUGUAUGAGAGAACAGGAUCUUGUAAGACUGUGUUAGCUGACUCACAUAAUUUUCUGGCCUGAUAUCAUCUCAUCAGCAGUAGAUUUGAAUAAUUUACCAAAGUAAUGCUACUACUGCAAUUUAAGAAGGAUUAUUUGCAAAUGCUCUCUUAAAUUAUUGUGGAUCACACUUCUGAGAAGACAUUAGAAGGUUCAUUUAUGCUACACACCUUCCUUAAUCCAGGGCUUAAUUUAUCUAAAUUUUGUGGCAGCCUAUCUGUUCAAAGGCAUGAUUUGGCAGCUCUAAAGGUUGGUGUGCCAAACUAUUGAUGCCUUUUCCAAAUCUGACGUCAAAGACCUAUUGUUUAUGGGCUGAUCAGGGAUGCCAUGUGCCUGGGAUAGAUGAUGGUUAUUGAACCCCUCAACAGUGACACACGUGCUUGUGUCCCACGUGCUUGUGUCCCACCUCUAUCAUUCCUGCUGUUGACUGCUGGUUCUGUCAGAUAAGAGAAUACUCCUGCUCUUUAGCAAGAAAGAUGGAUUUUAUGCACGUCUAAAGAAGCCAACUCCUGUGAUGUCAUCUGCCAACAAUUAAUAUGGGUGGUAUGUAAUGGUUUAGAGGAAAUUCUGCAAGAUUUUUUUAAAAGAUUACAUUCUUUUCAGUUUGCAUUAUUAUAAUUACCUACUUUUUGAAGAAAUAUAGCUGAUUAUUUUCUUUCUACCCUGUACCUAAGAGUGGUAUUUCAGAGAGGAUUAACUGGAUCCCCUUCAAAAUGUAGCUGUUGAUCUCUCCCUGUUCAGGGUUAUUUUGCCUGAAGUGAAUGUCACUUUUCUGUUUUGACUCUUAAAUACUGUGAUAAAUGUUAGGGUCUACUAAGUUUCAACUUUCUAUUUUUAUCCGUCAGUAAACACUACACCAGAUGUGGGUGUGAAGGACCCUGAGAAGCUGAGGGAGUUCUGCUUUUAUUCAGCAGUUUUAACUUUCAUAACUGAGAAUUUCAGCUCAUUUUUUAGGGUUGUGUAUGUGCUGUUUUGGGUUUUUUAAGAGCUGAGAAAAACAGGCUUACGCAACUUAGUUUGCAUAAGUGCAGUGAGUCAUUCACAUUUUAUUUUUGCGUGCCUCUGUGUGUGUGUGUUUUAUUGCUUUAUAUAACCUGUCUUUGAAAAGUACUACUGUGAAUACUAAGAAUAUAUUUUUGCUGUAAAACAGAACAAAAAAAAAAAAGAAAUAUGCCUAUUAGGAAGAUAACUGCUUCUUGGUGAUAUCUCCCUGUAGAUACUGUUGUCCAGGAGGGCACUUUGGUGAUUCUUUUUAACACCGUGGUUCUCCAGUGGCGAAGUUUAUGCUGAUAUAUGAAAGUGUAAGGAGGUCAGGUAGCUCUGUCCUUUCCUUUUGUGGGCAGAGCUGAGUGUGACUCCACAUGAUAAUGUUGGUUAUAUAUAUGUGUGUGUAUAUAUAUACAUAAAUAUAUAUAUAUGCAUAUACUUAUAUAGAGGUUUCAAAUGUGUGUAGUCCUUUCAGCAUACUGUAGCUUCUGCUUUAUCACAUUUCUUCCCAUCAUCUAGGGAAGAGUGGAACUUUCACAGCAGUGUACCUCUGUGCACUGUUGAAAGAAAUUUGGGGCUUAAAUCCUUCACACAGCUAUCAGGCAUGGGUGGCAAGCAUCCUUCACCAGGCAUGCUUACAGAGUCCUCUGGAAGGCUUCAUCUUUUUUGACACUACUUCUCUGCUCCGUGUGAUCAAGGGUACUGUGAAUGUCUGGCUGCUUGGAGUUUAUUGUUUUGAAUGAGGUUACAGGUAAUUAGGUGUCAGUACCCUUUAACUGCUAGAAUUGCCAUUUUAUUUUAUGUUUAUAUGUUUCAGAUGUGUUUUCUUUGACACCUGAUGGAUGGUGCUGUAACUAUGACAGGGAACUCACUGUUAGUUUUCUCAGAAAGGGGGAGUGUGGUUCAUGGUGCAGAGAUGUGGGCACAGAUCUUCUUGCCCCACGGCUCUUCUGAGGCUUACUACAUCAUUCCUCCCCAGCUCCCUGCUGUGUCAUUAUGUUUUCUGAUCUGAUGUGUAGGAUGCUAGAAAUCUCUCCAAGCAUGGGAAGUUCACCACAACAGUUUCAUGCAGAUUACUUCCAUGCACACUCAGAAGUCCCUCCACUCUGCUCUGCUGCCCUGUGUUUUACCAAAUCAGAUUCGGGACUUCUUCCUUUCUAUAACCCAGUUUUUUAUUUCCUUUAACACACAUCACAGGCUUUAUUUAAUUUCAAUGGUAUCCUAAGUUUUGUGCAAGUAGCACUGUUCAUUGUUGGGGCAACAUUUUUUGAUGACUCCUGGUUGAGAAGAUGAGGAAGUGAAUUUGGACAUCAUGUGUGAUUUGUCUGGUAAUCACUAGAGAAACUGUGUUUUCUGUUUGAUGCAGAGAGGAUGUUUGCAGUUGCAAAAUAAAGCAGUAUUCAUCUACUACCCCGCUAGCAGAUUAACAGUCUGAAGUCCACAGAAGUGCCAUUAAACAGGGGUACUGCCAUGGGCAGGGACACCAUCCACUGGGACCAAAUUGCUCAGAGCCCCAUCUAACCUGGUCUUGAACAUUUCUAGGAGUGGGGAGCCCACAACUUCUCUGGGAAAGCUGUUCCAGUGCCUCACCACCCUAACAGUAAACAUUUUCUUCUAAUAUCCAAUCUAAACCUACCCUCCUUCAGCUUAAAGCUGUCCCCCUUUGUCCUAUUACUACAUGUCCUUGUGAAAAGUCCCUCUCCAACCCCUUUAGGUACUUGGAGGCUGCUGUAGGGUCUCUCUGGAGCCUUCACUUCUCCACGUUAGGUCAGGUGCCCCAGACCUCUGAACAACUUAGUGUCUCUCCUCUGGACCCAUUCAAUAGGGUCCUUUUUUUGGGGACCCCAGUACUCCAAGGUGGGGUCUCACAAGAGUAGAGAAGAGGGGGAGAAUCACCUCCCUCACCCUGCUGGCCAUGCUACUUUUCUUUCAGCUCAGGAUGUGGUUGGUUUUCUGCACUACAAGCACACGUAUUGAGCUUUUCAUCCACAAACACACCCAAGUCUUCCUCCCCAGCUAGUCUCAGUCCAUCAUCAUUAAGAAAUUGGGUUCACAUAAGGAAUUGUAGUACCUGUCUAGCUUCAAAAAUGUGAGCAGUUUUCAUUAAUACACUUACAUGUAUAAAGUCAGGUAUAAACUUAAAUUCCUUGUUGGAUUGAUGUUCAGAAGAGCAGCUCAACUGGUUUGGGCUCUAAUGCGAUUAAUGUGCCCAAGACAAAAAUACCAAGUAGGUGUGACAUAGGUAUAACUGUUUCCUAUAACAGCUGUUGAGAAUAAGGCACCUCCUUCACUCAGUAGACAACUGGCAUGACAUCUGGAGAUAAGAAUUAUAUCUGAACUUGUAGAACCCUGUACAAAUAAGAAAAAAUUCCUACUCACGUACACAAAAGCUAUAAUUUAGAGUAACCUUUAUAUUUAAUCCCCUUAAAGAGGUGUUUUGCUUUAGCACACAGUUGUGGGCAGUGUCUCCGUGGGCAUAGUAGUUAUUCUCACCACUGCUUGAUUGUUUCAAAUGACCCCUUGUAUGAGCAGGCAAAUACCUAAAUUGCCUAUGCCUUUGUGUUAAUCAUGACCUCAAACGUUAGAUGUGAGAGGUGGGAGGCUUUUGCAAUAAAAUUAUAGCUAUGCUUUUAACAUUCAUUCUUGUGCUUCAAAUACAAUGACUUAAGUUUGCUGAUCCUCAAGGCAGUCCUCGAAGCACUGUUUCUAAUCAGUCCUUUAUCCCUGAGGGUAUUAUCCUUGUGCCCUUUUUUAUAUGCCCAUGCUGCAUAAGUCUAUUACAGAGUCACAGAAUGGGUCAAGUUGGAAGGGAUCACAGUGGGGCAUCUGGUCCAACCUCCCUGCUCAGUCGUGGUCAUCCUGGAUCACAUGGCACAGGAUCUCAUGCAGGCGGUUCUUGAAUAUCUCCAGUGAGGGAGAAUCCACAUCCUCUCUGGACAGUCUCUUCCAGUGCUCAGUCACCCACACAGUGAAGAAGUUCUUCUUCAUGAUCAUGUGGAACUUCCUGUGCAUCAGUUUCUGCCCAUGGCCUCUUGUCCUAUUGCUCAGCACCACCAAGAAGAGCCUGGCUCCAUCCUCCUGACACCCUCCCUUCAAAUACUUCAGACACUGAUGAGAUCCCCUCUCAGUUGUCUCUUCUCAAGGCUGAACAGGCCCAGGUCUCUCAGCCUUUUCUUGUAAGAGAGGGGCUUCAAUCCUGUAAUCAUCUUCAUUGCCCUCCAGUGAACCAGCUCCAGGAGCUCCUUGUUCUCUCAUUGUGAGGAGCCCAGAACUGGGCACAGCUCUCCCCCCUCUCCCUGGGACUGGGUAAAGGGGCAGGAUCUCCCUUGACCUGCUGGCAGUGCCCUUCCUAAUGCACCCCAGGAUCCCACUGACCUUCUUGGCCACACGGGCACACUGCUGGCUCAUGGACAGCUUGUUUUCCACCAGGACCUCCAGGUCCUUCUCCGCAGAGCUGCUUCCCAGCAGGUCAGCUCACAGCCUGUGCUGGUGCCUGGGGUUGUUUCUCCCUGCACUUGCUUUGUUGAACUUCAGGUGUUUCUGCUCUGCUGCUCCCUCCAGCCUGUCCAGGUCCUUCUGCAGGGCUGCACAGCCCUCUGGGGUACUGGCCACUCCUCCCAGCUUUGUGUCAUCAGUGAACUUGCUCAGGAGGCAUCUGCCCCUUCAUCCAAGUCAUUGGUGAAUAAAUUAAACAAUACUGGGCCCAGUAUGGAACCUUGGGGGGCAACAGUAGUGACAGGCCUCCAACUACAAUCCUGUGUCACUUCUCCCUGUGCCAGUGAUUACAACCCUCUGAGACCUGCCGUUCUGCCAGUUCUCAAUUACACAUUGUCCACAGAAAUCAGUCAUAAGGCAGCCAUCUCAGUGUACCACAAACAGUAGAUGUCUCAGGAAUUUAAAAAGUCUUGCUAGAAGGUGAAUGUCCACUGGGGUGAAAGGAUGGUCCUGUAAUGGUACAUUUGUGUGCACUCUGGACACAGGGUUAAGAGUCUGGAGAAUCGGGGUGGCCUGAGCACAUGAGAUCAUGUGUUUUACUCAGGGAAAUAUACCCUCUGCUCUUAAAAGUCAUUGGAGAUUGAGUUGAAAUUAAACACACUCUUCCUGCUAAUGAUGUUUUGCAGAUUUUUUCACAUAAUUUGGUGGAGAAUCAAAGAUUUUAUUACUUACUUACAGAAAGAGAUACUUAACAGGCAGGACAUUAAAAGAAGGAACAAAAGGUUUACAAAGCUCAAAUAAAUCUUUCUCUGUUUUUCUGUGGUGUGCUCAUCUGACUGCUUGAACACAACACUCUAGAACUAAAUUUUUAGCCAACUGGGGUUUAGAAAUUUCACAGAAUUUCAGCACAAAGCAAGUCAACUUUCUAUAACCAUGAUAAAGGAGGAAUAAUUACACUUUAACUGACCCUUAUGAUAAGUUUCCAGCUGCCUGGAGUAGAAAUCUGGGUCACUACUUCACUGAGCAAUAAUGUAAGACAUCAGGACACUGCUGUAUUCCAGGUAUAGUAAAUUACCCUCUUCUUACCAAAAUCAAAGCAAUAAUCCCACUCGUGUCCAUGAGUUUGUUCUGAACUUUGUCAGUGAUACAUUUUCCAUGCAUAAACUAGAAGGCUUGUUAAACUUUUUUAAUAUUAUCUUUACUUACUGACUUACUUUUGUCUCCUGUUCAUUUUAGUGGAACUUUUUAAAGAUUACCUUUUAUGUGGCAGGAAAACUGACUUAAUCUAUUUUGGAUAUCACUGAGGUGAAAUUUAUAUGAAACACAGUAUGUCCUUUGUCUUGACAUUGAGGAAGUCACUGCUACUAUUACUAAAAGCAAAUGGCCAACAAGUUAGCUCAGUAGCAGUCUGGCAUGGGUAUCAGCUGAUAUCUCAAAUUUACUUAUAAAGCUGAUUCUGAAAAAUUCCAGAGAACCAUGGAGAAUUUCCCAACAGAAUUCAGGAGAAGGGCAUUGUUUUACAAAUUCUUUGUGUGGAUUUUUGGCAGUAAUGUAGCCUGGGAUGUAGAAGCCACCCCAGGCCAAACUCCUGCAAGGGUGUCAGGUUACAUUAACAACAUAUUGGGAAGCAGGUAUUCAAGAGUACUAGCCUUGAUCUGCGUCACAGGAAGAGGCUUGAAAUAAUGCUUGAGAAAAAUACUUUUUAGAGUUACGUGGGAGGGGAAAAAUAAGCUUCAGCAACCUAUUAUUGGAGGCUUUUUCUUCACCCGUUUUUUUAUUUGUGAGCCAAAUACUGCAGUAAUUAAGCUGCAAGAAGAAGGGAAUGUGCUUUGCUUUUAGUGGAAAUUAACAUUGGUUUUCUCCAGGCAUUCAAUCACUUAACUCAGUUGUCUUUUUAUAUUAUUCAAAUGUGACACACAUUAGUUAAACAUAAGUGGUUGAAGAAUCAUGUUGCAGAAUGCCUCUUGAGAGAGAAGCAUGUUAUAAACAUUUCUACUAAUGGAAUAUUUAUGUUAAUGUAAAUUAACUCCAUAAGGGUGGCAAAUCCUUUAAAAGGUGAACAUGAAGUUCCUGCUGCACAAUGAACGCUUUUAUUAUUUUGUUUCUUGUACAGCACAAAGGGUGGUGUACAGGCUUCUGCUGUAGCCAUGAAGGAAUUUGCAAAUGCAGUUUUUGUGACCCUCAAGAAUCAAGGCCUGUCACACAAUGAAAAUAUAAUGCAGACUUGUGUGAUGCUGAGGAAGAGGAAGGACACUUUGCAGAAGAAAUUGUCAGAACUGUGAUCUGAGAAAAAAUGCAGAAUGAACUGAGUCUGUAGGAGAGCAGAGCAAAAUGAAGAGUUAUAGGUAGAAGAUAGAUUUAAUGAGAUGGAUGGAGAUAGUGAUCAUUUUAAAGUGGGUGAUCAGUUGCCAACAAUAUUAGGGAUAAGGACUAAGAAUGAUAAGAAAGUACAGUCGUUGUCAUCUCUGUUUCCUGUUGCUUAGAGUUGUACAAUCCUUAACAUCCACUGGUCAGAUGAUGUGACCAAUAAAUUUGUUCUAGAACAGGCAGCAGUCACAAGCAUUGAGGCCAUGUUGCUGAGAACACAGCUGUGCUGGGCAGGGCACGUCUCCAGGAUGAAGGACCAACCACCCCCUCCCUAAGAUCUUGCUUUAUGGUGAACUUGCCACCGGCUGCUGCAAGAGAGGAGCCCCAAAGAGGAGAUACAAGGACUGCCUGAAACAACAUCUCAGCCUUGGCCAUAUUGAUCAUCAUAACUGGUCUACUCUGGCCUCCAACUGGGAGCUCUGGAGACACACCAUCUAUAACGCUGCUGAUGCCUUUGAGAACGCAGCAGGAUCACCCUUGAGGAGAAAAGACAACACAGAAAGAACCGUGUCUUGCAGAAUUUACCACCUAAGGAGUCUUUCUACUGUGCCUUUUGCAAUUGGACAUGUCUAUCUCGUAUUGGCCUCGUUAGCCACCAGCGUGUUUGUAACAAACGUGGAUAGAGCCUUCCCAAAUCUUCGUUCACGAAGCCUGGCCAUGAUGAUGAGAGUUAUGAGAUCAGACAGAUCUGUUGGAGUGAUGGAGGGGACUGGCAGCACACCUUGCUUGGAAAACAUUUCCAGUGGUAUGGCUGAAUUCAAGUGCUUUUCAAAGAGGGGUCUAAUACAGGCUUCCCCUUACAAACCAACUUCAGGAAUGGCAGAACUGAAGGAAUGGUUGCACCAUCCUUUGGGAGACAGCGCAGCAAUCAACAGAGCUGUUGUUACAGCCUCCAGCACGGUCCCUUUGCUCUUGUGCACGAGGGGAAGCAGAAGCCCUGGAGGUCAGGGAAGUGAGAAGUCCAGUGAAGUGCCUGGGCUUUGUAAGCACAAGGGGAUUUACCCAGCUGCCUGUUUUGAAGUCCCCUAUCAAACGUAAGUACAACCCGCUAAAUAAAACCUUUGAUUCUUCAGCGGUUUCGUUUGCUUGUUUGUUUUUGCGGUAUGCAAAUUUGUUAUCAAAAUUAUUUAUAUUGCACAAAGUGCUCUUUCAACUGUGUUUUAUUAAUUCAGGAACAGCAGCGAUAAGAUCUAGUUCUUUCCAAAGAAUUUGGUAUGCCACAUGUCCCAAAUGGAUCAGAUUACAAAGGCAGUUCAGUUCCCAGUUAGGCUCUUCAGUGAAGUGGUUAGAUUUUUUGACAGCACUCAGCAUCCAGUGGGUCUGGUGUUCAUUUUCAGGAAUGGGAGCGGGUGAGCACUUCUGCAAGUGUAAUCUUUUGUACUUAAAUAUUUGUGUGUUUUCUCCCAAUCCCGUUUUACAUGAAGUUAUGUGACAUUUUUUUUGUUGUUAUUUUCAGAGUUUGUUUCCUUGUUUAAUAAAGAAAACUAAAUAGUUCUGCAAGAGUCCCACUGCAUUUCUGUGUACUGGGAUUGUCAUAUUUUUGUGAUUAUUUGUUUUUAUUUUUAUGAUUUUCAUUAUAUUUAAACCCCAAGUGUUCAUAAAUAAGUGCACAAAAGAAACCACAAAUACCAUGAUGAGUUACACAGUAGUGAUAACUCCAAGUACAAAUACUAAAUUUAAAAUGUAAGUUGUUAUUUGUACAGUCAAUUAACAUGAAUGACUGAUGAAUCACAGUAAAUCCACAAACACAUGCUGAACUUGGAUUUUUGCACAUGUAAAUCCAUUUGCCUUAACGCCUUGUUCCUUGGAUAAAUAUGACAGUUUUAUGUGACUUUUCAAGAACUACAGAUUACUUUCUUCCACUGGAAAUCAGUGUGGUGGCCUAACUACAUUAAAUAUUCCUCUCAUCCAGAUUUGUCUUUAAUUAUGAUUUUACCUCUUGAAAGAUCUCCCAUUUUCAGGUUUUGUGGAAGUUGUUAAGUUCCAAUCCCUGAUGGAUACCUGUGAAUACUUAAUAAAAUAUACAUCACAUAGCCAGACUGGCAUGCUCAUUGUGCCAGGUGAGUCAAAGACACCUCUAAAUCAUUGACACCAGUGUCACAUAACUUACCAAACUGUCUCUCUGAUCGUCUUUCCCCACAGCUCUGUCUUCACCCUGACAGUUCUGCUUCCAGUCCUCGUGGUGCACAGCACGCCUCUGGCAUUGAUGGUUUGCAUGUCUCCCAGCUUCUCCCUACACAUUGAUGCCAUUUGUGAGCUUCUCAUUCCAGAAUUCCCAAAGCCCUGCUUUCUAUACUGUGCCAAAAAGGCACUAAUUUCUGUAAUCCUCUCUGGGAUUUUAGGAAUGUUGAGACGUGCUGGUUAUAAAACCCUAAGUACAAAAUGGUCACGGAUGGCUGGAAUGAGGCAUGUUCUAAUGGAAACAAAUCACUUGUCAGUAAGCAGCCUUCAAACUUUUGAACAAAAGCUCAGAAGGGUCAGGGAAAAGACAAGUUUGUUGAUCUAAAAUGGCUGGAUGCAGGUCAUCAGAAAGGCAUAGGCUUCAAUAUUGUUGAGGCAACUCUUCAGUUCUAUGUAAAAUUAGAGUUUUAAAUGAGGUUAAAUGCUUUGAUGGCAACCACAAGUGGAAUGAGCAACUUGCAUUAAACAAAAAGCUCACACAUUAUAAAGGGUGCAUAACACCGAAAUGUAAAGCAUGUACACCACAAAACAGCUGCAGAAUGGAGCUCAGUUGUGGGAACUGCAUUUAGGUGUAUAGACAUGAAUGUGUGUGAGGAAGACCAUGCUAUAUCUGCUGAAAUUUAGGAGGGUGACCAGUAUUCCUGUAGGUGUCUGUGAUCCGUUAGUGUUUUUGUUAGUUAAAAUAGUGUAGCUUAGCUUUAUAGUGAUUUGUUGUUAAGUCUGUUCACUCAGCUUUCUGUAGGUUUUAACUCUAGAUGAAAUUCUGCAAUGCAAUCGUUAAAUUUUUUAAUAUUUGCUUGCAAGACACAUGAUGAGGUUCACGACCCCUGGACCAGCUGUAACGAGGGAUGAGCCCUUCUUUUUCCUGUGUAAUAUUUUGUGUUACUGUGUAAAAUGAAUAAUGUUGGUCUAUAAUAAGUUGUAUAAGGUGGAUGAAUUAUAGUCUUUGUGGAACAUCUCGUUGAAUCUCCUAAUUCUACUGUAGCUUGGUUUCAUUAGCAAACAAGCCUUAUGCAAUCUUUCUUUAUGAUCAGUCUGUCUGUCUGCUAGUCGCCCUCACAAGCCGCUUCUGAACUUGUUCAGUCUUCAACUGGAUUUGAAGAGUGUUUGCAGGUAACUUAUGUUUUGACUGGAUUUGUUGAAACUUCUCUAAAAAAAGGAGAGGCAGAGGCAGUGCCUCUGCAGAGGGUAAGGCAGGUGAAGCAGUUGUCAGAUAAGCAGUCAACGUGGGGGUCCUUGGUACGGUACACACUGCUUUGUGCAUACAGGGACACAGUGGGGACUGAUGAGAGAGGUUUGGACAGAGGUGACUGGGGAAAGAAAUCUGAAGGGACAAAGAUUUGACCUCCAUUGGUAACUAGGUUUCGUUUCAGUGUUCGUGGAAUAAUUUCAUUUUCAUAUGGAAAACAGCAGCAGGAGAAGAGGCAGUGACUCUCUGUGGCGAAACGAUAUCCGUGAGCUUCAAAGCACAGGGCAGCCCUUUGGUGUUUCUGAGGUUUACUCUGCUAAAUAAACAUUGUUCUGCUUUCAAAGGAAAGAAACUGAGACACUUUCUUCACAGAGUUUUGACUUGCUCAAAGGCACCAAAUGACUCAGCAGCAACCAGGUGCAGCAUACAGACAUGCUAAGGUAGCUUAGAAUCACAUGAUCAUUGAGGCUGGAAAAGACUUUUAGUGUCGUUGAGUCCAACCAUAACCCUAACAGUCCUGAGCCCACCAGUACACCAUGCCCCUAACCACCACAUGUACAUGUCUUUUCAAUACCUCCAGGGGUGGGGUUGACUUAACCACCUCCUGGGCAGCCAGUUCCAAUGCUUCAUAACCCUACUGCUGAAGAUAUUUUCCCCAAUAUCCAAUCCCUCCCCAUACUGAGGUGCAACUUGAGACCAUUUCGUCUCAUCCUGUUGCUUAAAACCUGAGCGAAGAAGAGACCGACCCCUGCCUGGCUACAACCUCCUUUCAGAUUGUUUUAGAGAGUGAGAAGAUCUCCCUCGAGUCUCAUUUUCUCCACGGCAAACAACCUCAGCUCUCUCAAGUCAUUUCUCAUAAGAUUUCUGCUCCAAAUCCAUCACCAGCUCAGUUAUCUUUCCCUGAACACACUCCAGAACCUCAGUGUUAUUCUUGUAGUGAGUGGUCCAAAACUGAACACAGGAUUUGUGAUGAAGCCUCACCAGUGCUGAGUAGAGGGAGAAAGCCACUGCCCCUCAUCCUGGCCAGUGUGUCCAGCAGCUUACACAGAUCUUCACUCACCACACAUCCCAAAUAUUCUCCUUCCUCAAGACCUUGGAGCUUAUCAGUGCUCCCUGUUCCUGACUUUUCGGUUGCUCUUAGGGUCGUUUAAAUCUGCAUCUGCUAGUAUUGCAAGAGGACAGUGCUGCCUGCUCAAGCCCAGCAAUCACUUACCAUCCAGAAAGGCCAUGACAAGGAAAACAUCUUCCAAAUGCCUCUGGUUGUUUUUUGUUUUUCUGCCAGAAAUGAGGGCAUGCUGCUGAAGAAGGGUUGCAAAGCAGCCUGCAGAGAGCUCCAGGCAGUACAGACAAAAGCACUCCUGGUACCUGGAGUAGCUUUGUUUGGAGUUAACUUGGGGUUGUCUGCAGUAUCCUGCCCUGCUCACCUGCCUUAGGUAUGGCAGCUGAUAGUUGUUGCUGUUUUGUGCUGCUCUUCUUGUCCGUCACGUGAAGUACACUGAGACCAUGGGGAGGAGUAAUCAUGGGAGACACUCCAUGUCUCCUCUUCAGAUGCUACACUGCCUGGAUAAAAGCUUAUCAGCAGCUUGGGU